UUGUUUCAGGUUAUGACUUAUGAGAGUGAUCAUUUAGUUUGCCUCAUUCGAUCCUCUUGUUCUCUAACUUUCUCCGCUCAGUGUUCUCAAAUUAAAUAUCCAAUUUGUAAGUUGUUCUGAUCAUCACCAACCCUGCCAACUUGGGUUCAUUGUCAACAAACUGAGCUUAGCGUAUUCGGGUUGGCAGCUGCUGCCUUCAUCCACCUCCACUGAGUGGGAGCAACGAAAAUUUUGGUUGGGUCAUCUCAAUCGGUCGUGAAGUUAUGGACUCUGCUCUGUAUAUGAUUGAUUCUGAAGUUUCGGUUUGAAUUGAACAUUUGAAAAUAUCGAUUCUUUUCAUUGCAUAUGGUCUGAAGUUUGGGUUCUUCCCUUUCUGAUUGUUCUCAGGUUAAAACUUGAAUUUCAUUGCCAGCUCUGUGUAAAGCUUAUGGUAAGAACGUUCUUCUUAUUCUUCUUUAUUUGAGCCUCUGUAUUCUGUUCACAUCGCUGCUUAUGAUUGAUUGCGGUGGUGUUCCAUAUGACUUGGUUUCAGGUUGAGAAAGACCAAUAUUAAUGAGGUUUCUCUUAAAUGCUCGAGGCGACUUUGUAUAGUUCUAUUAGUCAGGCACUUUACAAAUGUAAGGAGGUCUGAAUUUAUCGACUUUGUUUCUCAUAACCCAUGUGGAUGUGGGAUGCUGUGAAGUGGUUGUCAGCUUCGCUUAUCGGCAUUGGGAUUUGUGGAUGCCCAGAAUAGUGAUCCAGACAACAUGAUUUUAAUAUUGGAUCUCUGUCAAGAGCUUAAGUUUUAGGGAGCCAAUGAUCCAAUCUGCUGUAGAACAAGCAUGGUCGGCGUUUCGAGGAGUCUUCAGCGUAGAAAAGCAACUGUACAAUCAGGGAAGAGAAGGGAUUGGUUUGAUAAUAGUCAGAUUGUCCCCAUUGACAAUAGUUAAAUAUGUGGCCCCUAUACUUUUCAUGUAUAGGUUUUUUGUUAUACAUAGAUAUAUAUUUAU